CGCACAUUGCGCUCUUUGGUAUUCCGAAGAGCACAUCUGUUCGAGCGUCAUUACACCAAUCAAACUUGUGUUUGGAAUUGAAUGUAAUCAUGAGAAUUGAUACGUUCCAAAGUCAUCAGCAGUACCGUUCGGUCUCAAAUGUCGUUAUAUCAAUCAUUUGUCAGACUUGAAAGGUCUCUUGCUUUGCUCUUAAACUCUUCAGUUUGACCUCGAAUCAGAUGGGGAUACCCGCUGAACUUAA
rnacentral:misc_RNA from 1 species